UGUCAGCAUCGGGGGUGGGAGCAGGGCCCACGCAUUCCCCCUUUGGCCUGGGUGGGAACAGGGGAGGUGGUGGGCAGGGCCAGAAGGGCUUACUGGGAUUUUCUUUCUCUCUGUCACUCCAGAGAAAGGUGGUAAAGAACACUUGUUUCAGUUUGAGGUGCUCGGCAGCCACGCGCUGAAGGACGGUUUUUAAUUGUAGGGUGGGGUGUGAGUGCAGUGUGGUUCAGUCCCCUCCCCAUCUUGUGCUACCUGCCGUUGUACCUGGACCUGUGAAUCAGGGAUAAUAGUUACUAUCUUGUAGGACUGAGAAUGGUGCAUACUAACUGCUGAGGAACAUGGUGAAUGGAGUUAUGGUAAUUGCACGAUUGGCAUGAAGGGGUGAGAGAAGUUCCAGAUUGGUCGAUUAAAAUACUUGGGAGGCUGCAUUCUGAUAAUUCUCAGGAGGAAGAAUGUAUAGGAGAGACCAGGGUUUUUAAGGUGUGACCUCUGAACCACCUACAUCAGAGCUGACUGCCUCUCGUGUCUGGGAGCCAGCUUCUGAGUGUUGUCAAGGUAGUCCUGGUGGCUUGAGACUGGUG
rnacentral:lncRNA from 1 species